CCUACGGGGGACUGCAGUGAGGAAUAUUGGUCAAUGGACGCAAGUCUGAACCAGCCAUGCCGCGUGCAGGAAGACUGCCCUAUGAGUUGUAAACUUCUUUUGUACGGGGAUAAACCCAGGUACGUGUAUCUUUUUGCAAGUAUCGUAUGAAUAAGGAUCGGCUAACUCCGUGCCAGCAGCCGCGGUAAUACGGAGGAUUCAAGCGUUAUCCGGAUUUAUUGGGUUUAAAGGGUGCGUAGACGGGUGGAUAAGUUAGAGGUGAAAUCUCGAGGCUCAACCUUGGAAUUGCCUGUGAUACUGUUAGGCUAGAGUAUAGUUGCGGUAGGCGGAAUGUAUGGUGUAGCGGUGAAAUGCUUAGAGAUCAUACAGAACACCGAUUGCGAAGGCAGCUUACUAAGCU
rnacentral:rRNA from 1 species